AUUUCAAUAGAAAAAAAAAAAAAGAAACGCCGAGAGAAACAGAGGCGAAUCAAAGUGUUGAUCGCCAAUUUUUUCAGGUUGCAAUGUCAAGUCGAUGGGCUAACCGAGGGAGAGGUACUUUGAAAGCAUAUUUCCAAGCUCAAAAACCUGUAAGGGCCAGGGGUGAUCCUUAGUUAUUUUCACAACCAACAAUUGACGUUAGUGGUAGUUUAGUCAGGCAUCAGCAGAAAUUAGACAACAGGUAUGAAUAUCAUAUUAUGUUGUUUGUUCUUUGUUUGGCGAUUUUUUUUUUUUAGCCCCCCAUUCAGAAUUCCUGGCUCCGCCACUGCUUCCACUCCACUGCAUAACAGUUACAACUAUCAACUGCAAAUUCUUAUUCUUGUUCAAAACUUGUAUCAGAUGUUUUCUCAUUGAUUCUCAAAAUUAACCCAAAAUACCACCAUCCUUGAUUCAACUCAAAAACCUUUAAUUCUCCACCAUCAGCUUCUUCUUGAUUCAGUAGCAGAACCCAAAAUCACCAUGAGCUCAAGCACCAGCAGCAACAGUCAUUCUCCGCAAAGCAACUUCUCAAACUCUUGAACUCGAGAACUGACGAUUACCCAUUCCUCCAUGAGAUAAAACAAAUUUCUAGAUCUACUUUCUCAUCCUCAUCAAUUUCAUCUUUUUCGAUUCAACAUCAACGCCCAUUUCUACAUCUCAAAUUCAGAAGCCAACAUCAAAACCCUAACUUCAAUUUCAAUCAAUAUCAUCAUCUCAAAUUCACAGCGCCUUCAAAACCCGUAUAUUGAAUCCUUGUUGUUCUCAGCCUCUAAUACCCUCUUCUGCAAACCCAUCUCUUCUUUAAUCUCGCAUGGAACCACCUGUUCCCCUAUUAAUGACAGCUGCAGAUGAAUUCGAAUUUCAUUAUCUCCACAAUUCCUUGACCUAAAUUCCUCCACAAUCCUAUUCCCUGUAAGAUACAGACUCAAUUGGAGCCAGUAUUCACUACCAAUGCUUCCAUCAUCUCCUAUCAAAACUUCAUGGAUCUUUGAAUUACUCUCUUGACAGCGCAUUCGAUCAAAACUUCAUGGUCGAUUGAUUUUUCUGAGAAGAAAUCGAGAGGAGGAGGAGGAAGAAGAAGAAGAAGAAAGAAAGGAAAUUUUUUUUUGGAGGUGGUUGGAUUCAACCCACUAACCUGUACCUCGAUUUUUACUAGAACACCCUCAACAAUUAAAAGAUUUCCAACCUCCAUGUCCUUUUUUCUGCCCGCUAAAUUUACGCGAUUACCCUUCAUUUUUCGUCUUAUCUACGAAAAUGUCUAAAAGAAAAGAAAAAAUAAAUUACGCCUCUUCCUUUUCGAGGGGUAUUUUUGGAUUUUCAAUAAAAGGCAGACACCAAAUCCAAUCUUUUUGUGUUAAAUUGAAAAAAAAAAAAGUCAUGCUUCACAUUGACACAAAGUCACCAUAUAUAGAGUCCUCCCUCGCUUCGCUCGGUCGGCCUAUAAUUAGAAUCCUAUUAUAGGGGCUUCAAGAUUUUGGUUUUCAGGGAUCACAAGAUGACAAAAAAUCGGGUCAUCAAAUAGUAAUCUCCAAAGCCCCUUACUCCAAUGAUUAAUUAAUUUUAAUGAUUAGGUUAACUAAAUUAAACAAGAUUAAUAAUAAUAUUAGAUUAAUCAUUUGAUUUAUAGUUAAUAUUUGAAAAUCAAAAUAAAAAAUUCGAAUAUUUUUGUUUUUUUUGAAAAUUGAAGUUACGGUUGGAAGUUCAUAUUUUCCCAAUUGUAGAAAAUUUAUACGGUGAGGAAAUCAAUAUUUUCCCAACCGUAUUCAGUUCUGGAACUUAUUCUUCAAUUUCUAAUUUAAUCAAAUCUAAUAUAUUAAUGGGAUCAAAAGCAAUAAAAAAAAAUUGGGUUUUCGAUUCUGACCCAAUUAAAGUUAUUACUGGAGAAUCGACGAUUAAUCAUCAUUGAAGGAAAAAAAAUGGAAGAAGAGGCGGUGGAGGAGAAGAAGAAAGGAAGAAGAGGAAGACGUUUCUUUUUAGGGUUUAGAACCUUAGGUUUAGUUUUUGAUUUAAUUAGAUUUAGGUUUGGUGAUUAUUUUGGUUAUCAAAGGAUAUUUUUGUAUUUUUAAUAAAUUAGGUCACCUCUCGUCCAUAUUUGGGAAUUAGGAUAGUUGAAUCCAUAGAAGCCCCCAAAACCAAAUCCUUGGAUCCCUAUAAUAGGUUUCUAUAAGUCGGGGAAUUUUAAUCUAUAAUAAAAACAAAAGGGGUUUGUGAGUCUUGGACGGUCGGAUAACAUUUUGAGAGACAAACAAUGCUUCCGACCAUCCCAAUCUCGCUUAUCCCACCAAAAAAACAUCCGACGAUCGUGGUAUUUGUGACCUCUUUCAUUAUGAACCAAAAUUUAUUGACCUUUAAAUGCAAAUAAAAUAAAAAAAGGUUAAUGGUUUUAUGUAUAAAAUAGUAUAAUAAAACCAUAUAUGCAUUAGUUGGAUUCAGUGGUGGCAUAUACAUGUAUACACUAUUACUUGAAUAAAAUAGAAAACUUUAUUUUGGGUAAUUUUAUUAAUUUUGGGUAUGUAUAUGGCUAAUUUUAUUAUUUUUGCAUGAAUAUUAUUUUGUCUUGAAACAAAGUAGAAAACUUUCUCGGAAUUGAACGACUAAAAGUCUAGAAAAAAACUACAUCAGUCGUAGAUCAGAUUAAAGCAGUGUCGUUGUGGCACAAAUUAUUUCUAGAUUAGAUUUUUAACCUCCUUCAAUUAUGAAUAUAUGCAUCGGUAAUCCUUAUAAUUAGUUCCACACCAAUUAAAAAAAAUUAAUAUGCCAACAAAAAAGUCUUCCCAGUUAAAUGUUACAACUAUAUAAACUCAUAUUUUUAUUCAAAAAAAAAUGGCUCAUAAUCUUUUAGAACGAAUUACCAACCUAGGAUGAAUAUCGUGCCGACUAAAAUAUAGUCGGCAGGGUAUAAGGUUGAA